rnacentral:tRNA from 1 species
UCUCGAUUGGUCUAGUGGUAAGGAUACCUGCUUGUCAUCCAAUGAUCGCAGGUGGCCGGGGUUCGAUUCCCCGAUCGAGAG